rnacentral:lncRNA from 1 species
ACUGCCAGGACCCAGAAACUAAUGCUUUCCUUGCCUAAUAAAGUCUCACUCUGUCGCCCCGGCUGGAGUGCAGUGCUGCGAUCUCUGCUCACUGCAACCUCCGCCUCCUGGGUUCAAGCGAUUCUCCUGCCUCAGCCUCCUGAGUAGCUGGGAUUACGGUGACCACCACCACGCCCAGCUAAUUUUUUGUACUUUUAGUAGAGACGGGAUUUCAUCAUGUUGGCCAGGCUGGUCUCCAUCUUCUGACCUCGUGAUUCACCCACCUCGGCCUCCCAAAGUGCUGGGAUUACAGAGAUUCUGUGAGGAGCUGGAAGGCAAGCUUGGUUCAUGCAGACAUGAGGCACUAAUGUUUUCAACUGGGUUGCUCUCCACUGGAUGCCUAUUAAAUGCUCAGCACUUUGGAGUAUACCAGAGAAGUAAAGACAUGGCCCCUGCCUUCAAGGAGCAUUUUAUCCAGUUGGAUUUCAAACCUGUUCUUUGGGGAUGGCCCAACCCCACUUGUUCAGUUUUGCAGCCAGAAGCAUGGAUUCAUCAUCAGUAUGGUGGGACGCUACUUCAGACUGCUUUCAUGUCAAGAUCUGCCUCAUCUUCCAAAGUGGGAGUUCCCAGCAUUAGGCUUGUGGGGGUGGAAGCUUAAUCCGCCUCCUUCCAAAAACUGAAAUCUGGCCAGACGCGGUGGCUCACACCUGUAAUCUCAGCACUUUGGGAGGCUAAGGCAAGUGGAGCACGAGGUCAGGAGAUCGAGACCAUCCUGGCCAACAUGGUGAAACCCCAUCUCUACUGAAAAUACAAAAAUUAGCCGGGCAUGGUGGCUUGUGCCUGUAAUCCCAGCUACUCGAGAGACUGAGGCGAGAGAAUUGCUUGAACCCGGGAGGCAGAGGUUGCAGUGAGCCAAGAUCCCACCACUGCACAUCAGCCUGGGCGACAGAACCAGAUUCUGUCUGAGAAAAAAAAAAAAAAAGAAAGAAAGCCAACCAAUUCUUGCUGUAACUUCUGAAAAAGAACACAGUGCUGUGGCAGCAAUAAUGAUGACAUUCUUCCAAGGGGCAGGAUAAGAAAGAGGCAAAACAGCUGCUGGAGGUGGAUUUUUGGCAUUAGGGAAGUGUGAAAUGUGAAAAAUCGCUAUCACAGAAGAUCAAAGGAGUUAAGAAAAACUCACAAUUUAGAGCUACCUGUUUGUAUUAGUCUGUUUUUAUACCGCUAUAAAGAUACUACCUGAGACUGGGUAAUUUAUAAAGAAAAGAGAUUUAAUUGACUCACAGUUCCACAUGUCUGGGGAGGCCUCAGGAAACUUACAAUCAUGGUGGAAGGUGAAGGGGAAGCAGGCACCUUCUUCACAAGGCAGCAGGAGGGAGGGAGAGAGAAGCAAAGUGGGAAGAGCUCCUUAUAAAACCAUCAGAUCUAUGAGAACUCACUCAUUGUCAUAAGAACAGCAUGGGGGAACCUCCCCCAUGAUCCAAUCACCUCCCACCAGGUCUCUCCCUCAACACCCGGGAAUUACAAUUCAAGAUAAGAGGCCGGGCACUCACCUGUAAUCCUAGCACUUUGGGAGGCCGAGGCGGGCAGAUGGCCUGAGCUCAGGAGUUUGAGACCAGCCUGGGCAACAUGGUGAAACCCCAUCUCUACUAAAAUACAAACAACAACAACAAAAAUUAGCGGGCGUGGCAGCGUGUGCCUGUAGUCCCAGGUACUCAGGAGGCUGAGGCAGGAGAAGUGCUUGAACCCUGGAAGCAGAGGUUGCAGUGAGCUGAGAUCGUGCCACUGCACUCCAGCAUGGCGACAGAGCGAGACUCCAUCUCAAAAAACAAAAACAAAAACAAUUCAAGAUGAAAUUUGAGUGGGGACACAAAGCCUAAACAUAUCACUGUUUUACAGCGUAAACAGUCACCUAAGUUAACUGUGUUAGAUAUGGUUUCUUGCAUACAUUUUCACUACCUUCUCUAUAUACUCCAUUUUUACUCUACAGAAUUAUAGAAACUGGAAGGCUCAAAACUAUAUUUCCCACUUUUCACCAUCCAUAAAAGUCACAAUUGUAAAUCUAAGUGGGACAAUAACAGUUUCACAAGAAAACAGAAGAAUACUCACGAUUUUGGAAUCCACAAAGAUUUCUUAAACUGGAGACACACAAAAUAAAUAAGCCAUAAAGGAAAACAUCUGAUAAACUAAACUAAUUCAAAAUUAUGAAUGUCUUCUUCAAAAUACACUAUUAAAAGAGUGAAUAAAAUAAGCCACAGAGUGGGCUGGGCACAGUGGCUCACGCCUGUAAUCCCAGCACUUUGGGAGGCCGAAGCAGGCAGAUCACAAGGUCAGGAGAUUGAGACCAUCCUGGCUCACAUGGUGAAACCCCGUCUCUACUAAAAAUACAAAAAAUUAGCUGGGCAUGGUGGCGGGCACCUGUAGUCCCAGCUACUUGGGAGGCUGAGGCAGGAGAAUGGCGUGAACCCGGGAGGAGGAGCUUGCAGUGAGCCGAGAUCACGCCACUGCACUCCAGCCUGGGUGACAGAGCAAGACUCCAUCUCAAAAAAAAAAAACAAAAAACAAAAAGCCACAUAGUGGCAAAAGAUAUUAUCAAUACAUAUACCCGACAAAGGACUCAUAUCCAGAAUAAAGGACUAUAAAAACAAGAAAAGGCAGACAAGCCCAUAGAAAAUCACACAAAACACAUGAAUAGGCAUUUCACAGAAGAGGGUACCCAAAUGGCCAAUAAACAAUUAAAAAGGUGUUUAUUUGAUAUCAGAAAAAUGAAAACAACAAUGAGAUUCAAUACACUGCAUUAGUCUUUGAAGAGAAUGGCUAAAAUUUAAAAGAUGGAAAAGAUCAAGUUUUGAUGAAGAUGUGAAAAACUGUUGGGCAGUACUACUCAAGCUGAACCCCAUGCAUCAGAGAAAUUACACUUUUAUAUAUCCAACUGAAAUAUGUGUGUGUGUGUGUGUUCACCAAUGUUCACAGUGGCACUAGUUGCAGUAAUCUCAAAUUGGAAACAACCCAAAUGUCCAUCUUUGGUAGAACGUAUAAAUUGUGUUAUAUUCAUACAAUGGAAUACUACACAGCAAUGAAAAUGAAGAUACUAUUAUUACUCUCAACAUGAAUGAAUCUCACAAAUAGUUGAGUAGGAAAAGCCAGUAAUAAAAUAAUACACACUGUAUCAUUCCAUUUUGUCUAAUGUUUAAAAAUAGGCCAAAUUGGUCUAGGGUAUUAGAAGCCAAGAUUACAGUCAAUUUGAGGGAGGAUAAUGCCUAGAAAAGAUAAUGAAGGGAGCUUCUGGUAUGGUAGUAGUUUCUGCCUCCCAAUCUGGGUGCUAGCAAUAUGUAGGUGUGUUUACUUUAUGAAAAUUCAUCAAGCUCUCUGAUUAUAAUUUGUGCAUUUUUCUGUCUGUAUGCUAUACUUCAAUAAAGAUAGAUUUAUACUGAGUUAGGAACAAAGCUCAAUAACUAUAAUUCUAGGCUGAGCUGCUAAUAGGAUUUGUUAAACAAUUUAAACUGUGCCAGUCAGAUAUAAUGAUGCGAAAUUAGAAAGGUAAAAGGAAGAGAGAGGCUAUUUCCCCUGCCUAUUAGUUUUCCUUCCUUCCUUCCUUCCUCCCUUUUCUUUCUCUUCUUUCUCCUUCCUUCUUUCUCUUUCUCCUUCCUUCCUUCCUUCCUUUUCUUUCUCUUCUCCUUCCUUCCUUCCUUCCUCUUCUUUCCCUUCCUUCCUUUCUCUCUCUCUCUUUUUACCUUCCUCCUUCCCUCCCUCCUUCUCUCUCUCUAUUUAUUUAUUUUUUGAGAAAGAUUCUUGUUCUGUCCAGGCUGGAGUACAGUGGCACAAUCACAACUCACUGCAGCCUAGACCUCCUGGGCUCAAGGAUCCUCCCACCUCAGUGUCCCAAAUGUUUGGGACUUCAGGCAUGCACCAACAUGCCUGGCUGCCUAUUAGUUUUCACUGGUAGUUGUUGAUGUACGUGCAACAUUAAAUGUGGUUUUUAAUGACCAGACUUUCUGUGCCUCUGCAUUGCCACUAACUUCAUCUGUGAGAAAUGACUGUGAUGCCAGCAGUGGACUUUAUAGCUUCCUGACCUCUAGAUUGUAGCUGUGUGGACUGAACUGCGAGCCCAACAGCAUCCCUCUAAUGGUAAGAGCAUAUAAUUUUUAAGCAUAUAAUUCUUAGCAUUCAGUACCUAGAGAAGUGUCUGCACUGAACCCCAACUGAUAUAUCAGUUAAUAACACAACUGAUAGGUUAUCUAGUAGGUUUAUGGUUGGUUGUAAGAAUCUUUGGGAAAGAAAAUUACCAUUGGCAAUCCUACCACCUAGGAUCAUCAUUAUCAUGGGAAAGUUCUGCUUUAGAGGCAACCUAAAUCUAUUUUGAGGUCCUGAAAAUGCAUUUACUUCACAGGAUAUGCUGGUUUCUGCUGCCAUUCAAAAAUUAUUCUUAAGGCAUUCUUUGUUCUCUUUUCACUAGCUAAAUAAUGCCGUGCUUUUAACUUUUCUUUAUGUGUUCAGCAGCUUUUCCCAGUUGUGGAUAUUUGAAAAAAGUAUUCAUAUAAAUACUGCCUGUUCUGGUAGGAUUAGCUGUCCCUUUCUUUUGGUUAUAUUCCCAAGUUCAUUCUUGCUUAUCUAACCAAAGCCCUACAUUGCUGACUCAAGUUUAGUUUAUGGUCCAAGCCCAGUAUCAUGUUACUAUUAGCCAAGAUUUCCCAUGGGUUGAGGCAGACUUGUAGAAGAUUGAAAAAUAAAACUUACUGGCCAUAAGUAAGACUUUUUAUCUGGCCUUCCAGUACAGAACAUUCUCUAAUAUAGCAGCUUAUAAACAAUGAGAAUCAGAAGCCUAAAAAAAUUAGUUAAUAGCCAAACAGUGACUGAAUCAUGGAAUUGUACAGUUAGAAUGGACCUUAGAAGCAGUCUAUAUAAGCCAGGUAUAGUGGCUCAUGCCUGUAAUCUCAGCACUUUGGGAGGCCAAGGCAGGAGGAUCUCUUGAGCCCUGGAGUUUGAGACCAGCCUGGCCAAAAUGGUGAGACCCCAUCUCUACUAAUUUUUUUAAAAAGUCUAUAUACAUACCAGAACACAGAGCUCAGAUAUGUAUGCAGGAUUCCAGUCCGUGCUGAAUACUCUUCCAGUAUGAGUACUCUUCCUACUCCUCAAGGUGUGUGGCCCUCAAAGCAGCAGCAUCAGCACUUACCUGGGAGCUUGUUAGAAAGCCAGAAUCUCAGGCUCCAACACCCACUGAAGCAGAAUUUGCAUGUAACACCCCCACCCCUUCUUGAUUUGUAUGCAUGUUGAAAUUUGUGGAGUUAGAGACAAAAGCACCACAGGUGCAUGUCUUACUAUUUAAAGUCUUGCCUAAUUAUAUAACAUAGAAACCUGAUCCCUUCUGGACAAGGCCUGUAUUAUUACAGGUCCUGGUCUAAUAGAGUAUUUGAAUAGCUGGGUUAAAGAAAAAGAAAACUCUCUUUAAUAAUCUUUGGAAAAAGAGGACAUUUAUUUGAGCUAUGCUAGUUUU